UACGGAGGAGGCAAGCGUUAUCCGGAAUUAUUGGGCGUAAAGCGUCCGUAGGUGGUUUAGUAAGUCUGUUGUUAAAGCGCGGGGCUUAACUCCGUAUCGGCAGUGGAAACUACUAGACUAGAGUGUGGUAGGGGUAGAGGGAAUUCCCAGUGUAGCGGUGAAAUGCGUAGAUAUUGGGAAGAACACCUGAGGCGAAGGCGGGUUGCUGGGCCGACACUGACGCUGAGGCGCGAAAGCCAGGGGAGCGAACGGG
rnacentral:rRNA from 1 species